rnacentral:rRNA from 1 species
CACGUAGGGUGCGAGCGUUGUCCGGAAUUAUUGGGCGUAAAGAGCUCGUAGGCGGUGUGUCGCGUCGGCCGUGAAAACCUGCAGCUUAACUGUGGGCGUGCGGUCGAUACGGGCAUCACUGGAGUUCGGCAGGGGAGACUGGAAUUCCUGGUGUAGCGGUGAAAUGCGUAGAUAUCUGGAGGAAUACCGGUGGCGAAGGCGGCAUCCUGGACCGGCAUUGACGCUGAACAGCGAAAGCUAGGGGAGACAAACGGG